rnacentral:rRNA from 1 species
UACGUAGGGUGCGAGCGUUAUUCGGAAUUACUGGGCGUAAAGCGUGCGUAGGCGGUUUUGUAAGUCGGAUGUGAAAUCCCCGGGCUUAACCUGGGAAUGGCAUUUGGGACUGCAAGGCUGGAGUGCGGUAGAGGAGACUGGAAUUCCUGGUGUAGCAGUGAAAUGCGUAGAUAUCAGGAGGAACACCGAUGGCGAAGGCAGGUCUCUGGGCUGACACUGACGCUGAUGCACGAAAGCGUGGGGAGCAAACAGG